UAGAAUAAAAUUUUAUAAAUAAGGAAAGAGAGGGAUUC
rnacentral:tRNA from 1 species